rnacentral:rRNA from 1 species
UUUUAUUUGAGAGUUUGAUCCUGGCUCAGGAUGAACGCUGGCGGCGUGCCUAACACAUGCAAGUUGAGCGAUUUACUUCGGUAAAGAGCGGCGGACGGGUGAGUAACGCGUGGGUAACCUACCCUGUACACACGGAUAACAUACCGAAAGGUAUGCUAAUACGGGAUAAUAUAUUUGAGAGGCAUCUCUUGAAUAUCAAAGGUGAGCCAGUACAGGAUGGACCCGCGUCUGAUUAGCUAGUUGGUAAGGUAACGGCUUACCAAGGCGACGAUCAGUAGCCGACCUGAGAGGGUGAUCGGCCACAUUGGAACUGAGACACGGUCCAAACUCCUACGGGAGGCAGCAGUGGGGAAUAUUGCACGAUGGGCGAAAGCCUGAUGCAGCAACGCCGCGUGAGUGAUGAAGGCCUUCGGGUCGUAAAACUCUGUCCUCAAGGAAGAUAAUGACGGUACUUGAGGAGGAAGCCCCGGCUAACUACGUGCCAGCAGCCGCGGUAAUACGUAGGGGGCUAGCGUUAUCCG